CAGAAAUUGGAUUCAGUGUAUAUUAUUGCCUUGAGGAGGGUUUUGCUCCUGGUCUCUAGACACAUUUUUGUUUGUUUGUUUGGUUUUUAACACAUUUUUUUUUGUGAUGGGGAAGCUAUGUGUGUGUGUGCAGACAGAUAAACAGACACACACUCGCAUUAACCCAGUUCCGAGCAAUGUUUUUACUCUGGCAGUGCCAAUCUUGCCUUGGGUCAGCGACUGCUACGCAAAAAGCAAUAGGAGCUCAAUUGAAUAUCAUCUUAUAAGCCAGUGUCACUAAUCUCACCUGGAACAGUUUGAUCAAAUUCUAAAAGAACACUGCUGAUUCGGUUAUAGCAGCUUCUGGCUAUAAGAUAACAGAAAACUGGCUGUCUUUGUACAGCAAAUGUAGUUAUUUUGUCUUUUCAUAACACUUGAUUUCAUUUGAUAUGUGAACAUGUUUCAUGUGGGUUUCAUUAUCAUGAUGCCAUAUUUUUCUUUUUUUAAUUUGAAAACAUCACGUUUUGCUAAUUAUGUGUGUGUAUAAGGAAAAUGGAUCCUGCAGUAUUUCUGACUUACUUUUAUUGCAUGGGCCAUAUAAAUUUAAGCCUCUGUUUAUUUUAAGCCAGCUCAUAAAACCAGAUUUCUGCUCAUGUCUGUUUUCAUUUAUUACAUGUAUUUUUUUUUUUAUCCUUUUCCUCCUCCAGAGAACACACAGUGACUUGAUGAAUUACCAAGACUCAAGAAGGAUUUCUGUUUCUGUGAGAGUGACUCAAGUGACUCAUUAUGCAAAUGUCCUGUUUAUCAGACCCGUUGCCCUGACUUCACACCUGAUGAAGACCAUGGAGAGUGUUAUGUAUUUAGUAAAAUCAGUUUAUAGUUUGUGGUACUACUUUCUGUUACAAAGUAGAGAACACAAAGUGUGGUGUAUGUGCGCAUUGAGAUGCCUGCGCCUUUCCUUAGACUGGUUAUUAAAGUAAAUUACUACAACUAAAGAAGGCGUCGUUACUUACCAGUUAAGUUAUAAGAGAGAAUAUAACAGACUGGCGACGAGGAUUAAAACGGAUCCCUGAUGUGCAUUGGACGACAGAGAGG
ensembl:lncRNA